CACGUAGGGGACGAGCGUUGUCCGGAUUCAUUGGGCGUAAAGCGCGCGUAGGCGGACUAUUAAGUCAGGGGUGAAAUCCCGGGGCUCAACCCCGGAACUGCCUUUGAUACUGGUAGUCUCGAGUCCGGAAGAGGUGAGUGGAAUUCCGAGUGUAGAGGUGAAAUUCGUAGAUAUUCGGAGGAACACCAGUGGCGAAGGCGGCCCACUGGUCCGGUACUGACGCUGAGGUGCGAAAGCGUGGGGAGCAAACAGG
rnacentral:rRNA from 1 species